rnacentral:rRNA from 1 species
UACAGAGGUCUCAAGCGUUGUUCGGAUUCAUUGGGCGUAAAGGGUGCGUAGGUGGCGCGGUAAGUCGGGUGUGAAAUUUCGGAGCUUAACUCCGAAACUGCAUUCGAUACUGCGUGCUUGAGGACUGGAGAGGAGACUGGAAUUACGGUGUAGCAGUGAAAUGCGUAGAGAUCAUAGGAAGACCAGUGGCGAAGGCGGGUCUCUGGACAGUUCCUGACACUGAGACACGAAGGCCAGGGGAGCAAACGGG